rnacentral:lncRNA from 1 species
GUCAACGACCAUUUGCAUUCAUUCAUUCAUUCAUUCAUCUGGCCUCCUCAUCGUACACGCUGUUCACGUGUUCUCUUCUCAUACUCUUGACUUCCAUCAUCAUCACCAUGCCUGAUCUGGGAGAUAUGAAGCCAAAAGGACCAAGCAAGUGCAAGCUAUGCUUCCUAAAAUGCUGCUUCUGCUGUGUACCUAAACCAUCACUUCCUGGGAAGAAAAAGAAAUGCGGUUGCUGCUGAUAGGAGUGAACUUCGAUGUACAUAAAACGAGAUGACCGUAUAUAAUCAAUCAUAUUACAACUGGAUUACACAGGAGCUAAUCUGUCACACCGGAACCGUCGCAACACAUGCAUGACUUGCCAAACUCGUGAUUCACAGCAAGUCACAAGCAUUGGUCGAGACCCGGGGCGACGUGCCUAGAUUUUAGACAGCUAAAUAAUCUUUUUAUGGAACAUGUACUGUAAGGGUGAUAAAGUUUUGUUGACGUCAUAGAAAAUUCAUACAACAGUAUAUGAUGGAGUUUAACAUGAUAUAUAGGCAUAAUUUAUUAUUGAUUAGAGGCAAGGGUAAUGCUAACAAUAAGUGAGAUUAAUCUGUUGUAUUUAACCUUUGCCUGCCUAUUCAUGAAGAUUGUGAUGUACGUUUGUUUAAAGUCUGAUCUUUCCGUUUAAAACGGACACAGAAAGUGAGAUUGUUAUAUUAAUCUGUAAUUGCACUUUGUAGCGUCCCUGCCAUUAUUUAACGUCCAAGUUCUCCAAGAACGCAGACAGUGGUUAUUGAUUUGUACAAGGGGCCAGCAUUGUUUGGUAGAAUACUUAUUGAAUACCUAUGUAACGAGGUCAGAGAGAAACGGAAAAACAAAGUCAUGUAUACAGUCAAUAGGGGCACAUUUUCGGGGCGGGGGGGGGGGGGGUGGGAGGGAAUUCAUGUUGACCACUGUAGAGACUACAUGUUUCUCAUUAGGUUCUUCUCUGUAUUCUAUAAACAUCCUUAUUGUAUAGGUCAACGCGAUAGCAAUUACUUUCGAACAACCCAACCUAACGCAAUUAGAAUAACCUUGCGCAUUACCUUUUGAAAUGUGUCGAUGACAAUAACGUAUUACGUAACACAAACAUGGCAUCUCUCUGACAAACAUGCAGGCGUGAUGGGAGUAGUGAAGUCGCCCAUUAGUUGAUUUUCGAAAAUAGUUGUGAUUGUGUUACGUGUAGCAUAACCUAUACGGGUCGUUUUAAGUUACCUGUAAAUAACUAGUCACAUAUCUGUAACAUUAUUUUGUAGCCUAGUACUUUUCCUCAAUCACCUUCGUAGUUUAUUUCAUCAUAAAUAUAUUCGACGCUCAGACAAGCGUUGCUAUAAUUCUAACUUAAGUUUCAGGAAUGUCUAUGUGGCCUAUAUCCCUUGAAAUACGUACUGCGGUAAGAAUUCACGGAAAACGACAUAAAGGCAAUAAAUAGGCCUACGUCAGACUCACGCACACCAAAAACGAAUUAACAUCACUCUUAUUUGUGAAUAGUAAUGCAACAUAACUCAAAGUGACUUAAUCAAUAACCUCUAUUCUUCUUUUGGACGGUGUCUUCAUUGUUAUUUGUUAUUUUUCUUACAGAAAUGUACAGUAUGUAAAACAAUUUCAUGGAGUUUUUUCCCACCCAUUAUUUUGAACAAUACAUAAUUUAUAUGUAAUUUUCUCAGUGACGCAUUAUCUUUUGUGGCUGAAUAUGUAGGAUUAUUAUCACACAUGUACAUGUAGUUUUACACAAGAGUAAUGCUCGAUUUUGAUUUCUAUGUUUGUAUUGUAAUACAGUUGUUUCAUAGCAAGAAUAAUAAUGUUCAUGAUCAUCCAUAGUGUUUUGUAUAGAAGGUGUAUACAAUUUGACAUUUUAUUUGCUGAAUAAAAGGUUUCUGUGAACUAAUUCUUUUAAAAUUGAUUAUACACAA